rnacentral:rRNA from 1 species
CCGUUUUGCGACGCGGAGGGACAUUACAGAGCUGCAAAACUCCCUAAACCAUCGUGAACGCUACCUAAACCGUUGCUUCGGCGGGCGGCGCCCUCGCGCGCCCCCCCUGGGGCCCGCACCGCGGGCGCCCGCCGGAGGUACACCAAACUCUUGAUAUGUUAUGGCCACUCUGAGUCUCCUGUACUGAAUAAGUCAAAACUUUCAACAACGGAUCUCUUGGUUCUGGCAUCGAUGAAGAACGCAGCGAAAUGCGAUAAGUAAUGUGAAUUGCAGAAUUCAGUGAAUCAUCGAAUCUUUGAACGCACAUUGCGCCCGCCAGCAUCCUGGCGGGCAUGCCUGUUCGAGCGUCAUUUCAACCCAUCAAGCCCACGGCUUGUGUUGGGGACCUGCGGCUGCCCGCAGGCCCUGAAAACCAGUGGCGGGCUCGCUAGUCACACCGGGCGUAGUAGCAUACGACCUCGCUCAGGGCGUGCUGCGGGUUCCAGCCGUAAAACGACCUUCACAACCCAAGGUUGACCUCGGAUCAGGUAGGAGGACCCGCUGAACUUAAGCAUAUCAAUAAGCGGAGGAA